GCUGGCAUGGUCUAGUGGUAUGACGUUCGCCUCACAAACUGACAUACAAGAAUGUGUGCGCGACAGGUCCCGAGUUCGAUCCUCGGUGCUAGUA